rnacentral:rRNA from 1 species
AGCGAACGCUGGCGGCAGGCCUAACACAUGCAAGUCGAACGAGCCUUCGGGCUAGUGGCGGACGGGUGAGUAACACGUGGGAACGUACCUUUAGGUUCGGAAUAACUCAGGGAAACUUGAGCUAAUACCGGAUGUGCCCUUCGGGGGAAAGAUUUAUCGCCUUUAGAGCGGCCCGCGUUAGAUUAGCUAGUUGGUGGGGUAAUGGCCCACCAAGGCUACGAUCUAUAGCUGGUCUGAGAGGAUGAUCAGCCACACUGGGACUGAGACACGGCCCAGACUCCUACGGGAGGCAGCAGUGGGGAAUCUUGCGCAAUGGGCGAAAGCCUGACGCAGCCAUGCCGCGUGAAUGAUGAAGGUCUUAGGAUUGUAAAAUUCUUUUAGCAGGGACGAUAAUGACGGUACCUGCAGAAAAAGCCCCGGCUAACUUCGUGCCAGCAGCCGCCGUAACAC